rnacentral:rRNA from 1 species
GACGAACGCUGGCGGCGUGCUUAACACAUGCAAGUCGAACGGAAAGGCCCUGCUUUUGUGGGGUGCUCGAGUGGCGAACGGGUGAGUAACACGUGAGUAACCUGCCCUUGACUUUGGGAUAACUUCAGGAAACUGGGGCUAAUACCGGAUAGGAGCUCCUGCUGCAUGGUGGGGGUUGGAAAGUUUCGGCGGUUGGGGAUGGACUCGCGGCUUAUCAGCUUGUUGGUGGGGUAGUGGCUUACCAAGGCUUUGACGGGUAGCCGGCCUGGGAGGGUGACCGGCCCAGAUUGGAAUGGAGACCCGGCCGGACAUCGCAGGGGGGGGAGCGGGGGGGAGUAUGGCAAAAGGGGGGGGCGCGUGAGGCAGCAGCCCCGCGGGGGGGAGACGGGCCUUCGGGUUGAAAACCGCUUUCGCCGGUAAGGAAGGGGGAGGGAGGGAAAGGGGAAAAAAAGCCCCGGCAAACUAGGUG